rnacentral:rRNA from 1 species
GACGAACGCUGGCGGCGUGCCUAAUACAUGCAAGUAGAACGCUGAAGGAGGAGCUUGCUUCUCCGGAUGAGUUGCGAACGGGUGAGUAACGCGUAGGUAACCUGCCUGGUAGCGGGGGAUAACUAUUGGAAACGAUAGCUAAUACCGCAUAACAGUAGAUGUUGCAUGACAUUCGCUUAAAAGGUGCAAUUGCAUCACUACCAGAUGGACCUGCGUUGUAUUAGCUAGUUGGUGAGGUAACGGCUCACCAAGGCGACGAUACAUAGCCGACCUGAGAGGGUGAUCGGCCACACUGGGACUGAGACACGGCCCAGACUCCUACGGGAGGCAGCAGUAGGGAAUCUUCGGCAAUGGACGGAAGUCUGACCGAGCAACGCCGCGUGAGUGAAGAAGGUUUUCGGAUCGUAAAGCUCUGUUGUAAGAGAAGAACGAGUGUGAGAGUGGAAAGUUCACACUGUGACGGUAUCUUACCAGAAAGGGACGGCUAACUACGUG